rnacentral:pre_miRNA from 1 species
AAAAUACUCCCUUCGUCCGAAAAUAUUUGUCAUCAAAAUGGAUAAAAGGAAAUGUAUCUAGACGUAUUUUAGUUUUAGAUACAUCUCUUUUUAUCCAUUUUGAUGAAAAGUAUUUUCGGAUGGAGGGAGUAGAAA